UGCAGUUCCUUUUCGGGCGGC
rnacentral:siRNA from 1 species